UUGCAGUCUUCCCUGUCGGGUCCUACUCGU
rnacentral:piRNA from 1 species